AACUAAGCAAGACUUUGAAGGAGCCUGGAGUCCUGCAUUGGCAGGAAGGGGCAUAAGCCAGCAAAUCACAGCUCUCUGUAAAGCAUCAAGAAUAAACAAGAGCACAUGUGGCAGGAGCAUUCCUCUCUCUAUGGCUGUGUUCCAACAGAUGGGACACAAGAGAUUGGGGAAGAGAGGCAUCUAGAGGUAUCUACAGCCACCAGCCCUCUAGUGACAAAGCGAGAACCUCAGACUCAAGUCUCCAACAUUCCAGUCUGUGCCUUCUUCAUGUUCCUGGGCAGCUUUGUUCAAGCAUCUAUAAUGGCUUCCUAUUUCUAACUGUACCAAAUUAAAAUGUUCUUGUCUGGCA